UACUUGAGCUUUCAUACUUAUGAAGUGUGGCUUUGGGAGCAACUGGGCUGAAUGAAGCGGGGGACCAUACAGGGCCUGGGAGGGCUUCACUGGAGCAUCUCUACAGAUACCGAGCGUCACCGCUGACACGGGAAGAGGGCAUAACAAGAGUGCAGACCCUGCCACGUAAUUCUGACAUGCAUCAUGCAUACCUAUAAACAGCUUUUGCCUCUCUCAGCAACAGCUAGAAUUCCGGAAGAACGCUGCCGAAAUGAGGUGUUUGCAAAGCUGCCAUUUCCGGCCUGGAGUCUCAGCUGUGUGACCCCAGGAAAAGACGUCGAAAUGUUUUGCUGAGUGGUACACGUCCCUGCUUGUGGUCAGAAGACUUAUUCAAUGAAGUCAUUCUCGGCGCCAGUGCAACAGUUUCCUGAUGUCCGGCUGGAAUCCGACUUCCUGUGACUUGAGGCUGUUAUUCCGUGUCCUGCGCUCUGGCAUGAUCAGGAUUGAUCCUGGCCCUCCUCAGAGUGGCAGCACCGGAGGACCUGGCAGAGGGCUGUCCUAUCUCCUCCCAGUCUUCUCUUCUCAGGGCCAAACACGUCCGGUUCUUCCCAUCCCAGCUCACGGGGCUUGGUUUCCAGUCCCCGGAUCCUCCUUGUUGCCCUCCGCUGAAUCCCUGCCAGCUUGUCCGCAUCCGCCUCGCAGUGUGGUGUCCAGAAGUGGGCGCAAUACUCAGGAUGGGGCCUCCCCAGGGCCGAGUCCAAGGAGCCCCUCUGGAGCGCGCCGGGAGCUGAAGGCCUUCUUGCUUCCCAAAUGUGGAUGGGAGAAGCGUGCUUAGCAAAGGGCCCGUUGCUGCUUGCUUUGGCUCUAAUCUCACGGUGCAGCCCUUCCGUGCAUUCAGGCAGAGGUAAACUUCACAACAUGUAAAGGCUGCAUUUUCCCCGCCUUAAAAAAACACCCUUAAUAGAACGGCUGCUUAGACACAGCGUCAAAGCUGGAGGGCUCUAACCAGUGGCUUGCAUAGAAAAUCCAGUGUGGUCUAGUAGCCCUCAAUCUGGAAGCAGAAGGGAACAGACCCACACAAAGGUUGGUGCCCCAAGCCAUAUCGAGAUCUGGCUUGCAGGCAUCCCUUUCAUUCCACCACCCCCCUCCAAUUUCCCAUACAGCAGAGGUAUUUUCUACCAUGCAUGAGAAGUGCUUGGAACAAUCUACCAAGUGCUUUUGUCUUAAAUGCACAAGCUACCAAUUAAAUCUCCCUAAAACAAAGGUAAUAAAAUGAAGAAUCCUUGCCCUCUUCUGCAGUCCAGUUGUCAACAGCUAUGCAUUAAACUGUUUCCAAAAGGGGACUUCUGAAAUUCUGUUCAAGAAAAGAGCAAAUUAGUCUUGAGCCAUGAGAUGGUGGUGGAAUUAAAUUUGUUAUCAG